CUUGGUAAUAAGGAUCGCCUCCUGUGCGCGAGUCUACAGCCCGCUGCCUUAUCCUCGGCCAUAUUACC
rnacentral:tRNA from 1 species